rnacentral:rRNA from 1 species
UACAGAGGCCUCGAGCGUUAGGCGGAAUCACUGGGCUUAAAGCGUGUGUAGGCGGACUUUCUAAGUACCUUGUGAAAUCCCACGGCUUACCCGUGGAACUGCUGGGUAUACUGGUUGUCUUGAGCUUUCUAGGGGCGAGUGGAACAAAUGGUGGAGCGGUGAAAUGCGUAGAUAUCAUUUGGAACGCCAAUGGUGAAAACAACUCGCUGGGGAAAUGCUGACGCUGAGACACGAAAGCCAGGGGAGCGAACGGG